rnacentral:rRNA from 1 species
GAUGAACGCUGGCGGCGUGCCUAAUACAUGCAAGUCGAGCGAAUGGAUUAAGAGCUUGCUCUUAUGAAGUUAGCGGCGGACGGGUGAGUAACACGUGGGUAACCUGCCCAUAAGACUGGGAUAACUCCGGGAAACCGGGGCUAAUCCCGGAUAACAUUUUAAACCGCAUGGUUCGAAAUUGAACGGCGGCUUCGGCUGACACUUCUGGAUGGACCCGCGUCGCAUUAGCUAGUUGGUGAGGUAACGGCUCACCAAGGCAACGAUGCGUAGCCGACCUGAGAGGGUGAUCGGCCACACUGGGACUGAGACACGGCCCAGACUCCUACGGGAGGCAGCAGUAGGGAAUCUUCCGCAAUGGACGAAAGUCUGACGGAGCAACGCCGCGUGAGUGAUGAAGGCUUUCGGGUCGUAAAACUCUGUUGUUAGGGAAGAACAAGUGCUAGUUGAAUAAGCUGGCACCUUGACGGUACCUAACCAGAAAGCCACGGCUAACUACGUGCCAGCCGCCGCCGUAA